rnacentral:rRNA from 1 species
AUUGAACGCUGGCGGCAUGCCUUACACAUGCAAGUCGAACGGCAGCGGGGGAGAAGCUUGCUUUUCCUGCCGGCGAGUGGCGAACGGGUGAGUAAUACAUCGGAACGUGCCCUGUAGUGGGGGAUAACUAGUCGAAAGAUUAGCUAAUACCGCAUACGACCCGAGGGUGAAAGUGGGGGACCGCAAGGCCUCAUGCUAUAGGAGCGGCCGAUGUCUGAUUAGCUAGGUGGUGGGGUAAAGGCCUACCAAGGCGACGAUCAGGAGCUGGUCUGAGAGGACGAUCAGCCACACUGGGACUGAGACACGGCCCAGACUCCUACGGGAGGCAGCAGUGGGGAAUUUUGGACAAUGGGCGAAAGCCUGAUCCAGCAAUGCCGCGUGUGUGAAGAAGGCCUUCGGGUUGUAAAGCACUUUUGUCCGGAAAGAAAUGGCUCUGGUUAAUACCUGGGGUCGAUGACGGUACCGGAAGAAUAAGGACCGGCUAACUUCGUGCCAGCCGCCGCCGUAAAAC